GAUAAACGCUGGCGGCGUGCAUGAGACAUGCAAGUCGAACGAACGAGCUUGCUCGUUAGUGGCGGACGGCCGAGUAACGCGUAGGUGACCUGCCCCGAAGUGGGGGAUAACUGCCCGAAAGGGUGGCUAAUACCGCAUGUGGCGACACUUUCAUUGGUGUCAUCAAAGCCGCGAGGCGCUUCGGGAGGGGCCUGCGUCCGAUUAGCUCGUUGGUGGGGUAAUGGCUCACCAAGGCGACGAUCGGUAGGUGGUCUGAGAGGACGAUCACCCAGACUGGGACUGAGACACGGCCCAGACUCCUACGGGAGGCAGCAGUCGGGAAUUUUGCUCAAUGGGCGCAAGCCUGAAGCAGCAACGCCGCGUGCGGGAUGAAGGCCUUCGGGUUGUAAACCGCUUUUAUCAGGGACGAUGAUGACGGUACCUGAUGAAUAAGUCACGGCUAACUACGUGCCAGCCGCCGCCGUAACAC
rnacentral:rRNA from 1 species